UUAGAAUUCUUUUCUCUUAGGUAUCCAGGUAUACACUCCACCCUGGAGAAGCUACUAUUCUUCCAAAUUUUGUUCUCUCAAGUUUAUAGAUUGCAUUUUUCCUCGUGCAGUUGUUUAUAAAAUGUUCAUAUCUCAUAGCACGAGGAUAAAUCAGGACUUUACUAAUUCCAAGAACUAGAGGAUAUCUAACUUUGUAUGUUCAUACGAAAGUGUGUGCAAUUUUUCUUACAGAAACAAAGCAAAAGUCACACCCUCUAUACCAUAAUGUUGGCAGUCUUCAUGUUCGUGUGAGGUCUCUUUUAAGUGAUUUGCAAGAUCUAUGGCAUUUUACAUUCAAGCGUUGACGAUCCUGUAUAAUGGUAACCGGAUAUUUUGUAAUUUUGCUCGUCUUCUGGAUUUGCUCUCUGCAGAUGCCCUCUUGCUGGCCACAUUUUUCAAGGGUUUGGAUAGAAGCUUGCUAAAUGUGCUAGGGAUGUACUGCCUCCAAAGUAGCCGAAGGCAUAUCCUUAUGGAACCGUGCUUUCAACUCGCUCACAUGAUUCACUUAGAUUGAUAUUAUUCUGUCUAUUCUGGUUUCAUGUGUAGAUCAUGUAAAAGUUUGUGGUGCCAUCUAUUUAGCAUCUUAUCAACCAAACGGUCACUUAUCAGUCUGAUAAAGAUUAAAGGAGAACAACAAAAGACUAGUUUGAUCAACCAGUGGUGUCUAGAACCAAUUAUUUUGGUGAGCAAUCUCUGGGAUUGGGGUCGUGAGAGCUAGAAAGCCAGAUGCACCUAGCUGCUUGUAUAUUGGCCUUCACAACAUUCUUAUCUAUCAUCUCUUUUACUUUACUCUCUGGCUUAGAAUUCCUUUUUUUUUUUUUUUCUGUACUAUCCAGAUAGACUGGGCAUGCUCUAGCCUGAUGUUGAUACUCCAUACAAGUUAGAAGACAAAAAACAUAUCAGUGGUGAGAUUGUGCCAUCCGAUGGUGGUGAAGUGCCACAGAAGAACAGUAGUAAUUGGAUGAGAAUGUUAACGGAGUUGUUGCACUAACCAUGAUAUUAAACAAUGUAGCAGUAUUCCUUCCCUCAUUGGAUGCAUUGGUUUUUACUACUUUGUAGGCGAUUAGAAUGGCCAGAUCAAAUUGGGAGUAUGGCGUUGGUUCAAAAAGGGGAUAAAGAUGAGGUCGUUGUGAAGACCAAAUCCGCAGGGCGAGAAUUUAGCUUGCAAACAAGAAGCAAUAGAGGCUGAGCUUAUCCUUUGUUUACCUUCGAUGCUUAAGUUAGUAAGAUAGUCAAGGAAUAAAAGUAGUAGAGAGAGUGUUUGUGUGGGGGUAUGGCUGUUACCUCAAACAAAAGGGAAUUGUAGUUAUAUUUUUAGUUUGGAGAAUCCAUUUUAAUUGUAUCUGAAAAAGUGGAUUUGACAUGAUUACCUUGCAGCUAUCUACAAGUCUAUGUCACCUUUCCAACUUAUUAAGUCAGGAUGCUAAUAUGCAGGUAAAAUUAGUCAUACUACGAGAAUUGAUCUGAUUUUUGAACUCCUUGGAAUCCGAGAGAGUGUAUGUGUGGGG
rnacentral:lncRNA from 1 species